rnacentral:rRNA from 1 species
UACGUAGGGUGCAAGCGUUGUCCGGAAUUAUUGGGCGUAAAGGGCUCGUAGGCGGUCCGUCACGUCGGGAGUGAAAACUUGGGGCUUAACCCCAAGCCUGCUUCCGAUACGGGCGGACUAGAGGUAGGCAGGGGAGAACGGAAUUCCUGGUGUAGCGGUGAAAUGCGCAGAUAUCAGGAGGAACACCAAUGGCGAAGGCAGCUCGCUGGGACGGUAUUGACGCUGAGGCACGAAAGCGUGGGGAGCAAACAGG